rnacentral:rRNA from 2 species
UACAGAGGGUGCGAGCGUUAAUCGGAAUUACUGGGCGUAAAGCGCGCGUAGGUGGUUUUGUAAGUCGGGUGUGAAAUCCCUGGGCUCAACCUGGGAACUGCAUUCGAGACUGCAAGACUGGAGUAUGGGAGAGGGCAGCGGAAUUUCCGGUGUAGCGGUGAAAUGCGUAGAUAUCGGAAGGAACAUCAGUGGCGAAAGCGGCUGCCUGGCCCAAUACUGACACUCAUGUGCGAAAGCGUGGGGAGCAAACAGG